rnacentral:rRNA from 1 species
UACGUAGGGCGCAAGCGUUAUCCGGAAUUAUUGGGCGUAAAGCGCGUGUAGGCGGCUUUGCAAGUCGGGUGUGAAAGCCCUCAGCUCAACUGAGGAAGUGCGCCCGAAACUGCAGAGCUUGAGUGCCGGAGAGGGUGGCGGAAUUCCCCAAGUAGAGGUGAAAUUCGUAGAUAUGGGGAGGAACACCGGUGGCGAAGGCGGCCACCUGGACGGCAACUGACGCUGAGACGCGAAAGCGUGGGGAGCAAACAGG